CCUACGGGUGGCAGCAGUGGGGAAUAUUGCACAAUGGGGGAAACCCUGAUGCAGCGACGCCGCGUGAGUGAAGAAGUAUUUCGGUAUGUAAAGCUCUAUCAGCAGGGAAGAAAUAGCGACCUUUGGGUCGCCAGACGGUACCUGAUUAAGAAGCCCCGGCUAACUACGUGCCAGCAGCCGCGGUAAUACGUAGGGGGCAAGCGUUAUCCGGAUUUACUGGGUGUAAAGGGAGCGUAGACGGCAGCGCAAGUCUGAAGUGAAAUGCCGGGGCUUAACCCCGGAACUGCUUUGGAAACUGUGCAGCUAGAGUGCAGGAGAGGUAAGUGGAAUUCCUAGUGUAGCGGUGAAAUGCGUAGAUAUUAGGAGGAACAUCAGGGGCGAAGGCGACUUACUGGACUGUAACUGACACUGAGGCACGAAAGCGUGGGGAGCAAACAGGAUUAGAUACCCGAGUAGUC
rnacentral:rRNA from 1 species